ACCCCAUUUGCUCAGUUGGUUACAGUGUGGUGCUGAUAACGCCAAGGUUGCAGGUUCGAUCCCCAUAUGGGGCA